AUUGAACGCUGGCGGCAUGCCUUACACAUGCAAGUCGAACGGCAGCACGGACUUCGGUCUGGUGGCGAGUGGCGAACGGGUGAGUAAUGUAUCGGAACGUGCCCAGUCGUGGGGGAUAACGUAGUGAAAAUUACGCUAAUACCGCAUACGAUCGAAGGAUGAAAGCAGGGGAUCCCAAAACCUCGCGCGAUUGGCGCGGCCGAUAUCAGAUUAGGUAGUUGGUGGGGUAAAGGCCCACCAAGCCAACGAUCUGUAGCUGGUCUGAGAGGACGACCAGCGACACUGGAACUGAGACACGGUCCAGACUCCUACGGGAGGCAGCAGUGGGGAAUUUUGGACAAUGGGCGAAAGCCUGAUCCAGCCAUUCCGCGUGCAGGAUGAAGGCCCUCGGGUUGUAAACUGCUUUUGUACAGAACGAAAAGGUUUCUACUAAUACUAGGAGCUCAUGACGGUACUGUAAGAAUAAGCACCGGCUAACUACGUGCCAGCCGCCGCCGUAA
rnacentral:rRNA from 1 species